AAUUCAUUCCGAUAAAAAAAAAAAAAAAAUCAAACCUAACCUGUUGUCGACUGCUUUACUUGCUCUUCUUCCUCAAAUCCAAAACAAAAUUUCCUAAUUCUUUAACUCCAAUGAAUCCGAAAUUAGUAGUGAUGGCGUUUUCAUUUUUUCUGCUACUCUCUCUCUGCUACUCCGCCGAGUUCAGAUGCAACAGCGGCUGCAAUUUGUAUUGGGCAUGGUGCUUCAUCCUGCAAGGAACCAACCCAAGCUUCAUAGCCGAUGUUGAGAACACCUCAGAGUCGCUCGACGCAAUUCACCGUUUCAUUAGAGAUCAAUUCCCAAACAACGACGGUUACCACGGAUUCGCCAUAAGCAGAAGCCCCUUCCCCUGUAAUUGCAGCAGCGAUGGAUUCGUCGGCUACGUUUUACAAUACAGCGUGCUAUCCAACGACACCUACGACGUCAUCGCCGAGGAGUA
rnacentral:misc_RNA from 1 species